AGUGGCGGACGGGUGAGUAAUGUCUGGGAAACUGCCUGAUGAGGGGGAUAACUACUGGAAACGGUAGCUAAUACCGCAUAACGUCGCAAGACCAAAGAGGGGGACCUUCGGGCCUCUUGCCAUCGGAUGUGCCCAGAUGGGAUUAGCUAGUAGGUGGGGUAACGGCUCACCUAGGCGACGAUCCCUAGCUGGUCUGAGAGGAUGACCAGCCACACUGGAACUGAGACACGGUCCAGACUCCUACGGGAGGCAGCAUG
rnacentral:rRNA from 1 species